UCUUGCCACACAAUUAUGUUACUGUUGCACUGUUCAUGCGCUUCCUGGUCGUCCGAUGCGCUAGGUCUUUUGCCUGCUAAUUCCCCAUCGUUCUUUCCCGUCCUUGUAGAACCACGCCGCCGGUGGUUGCCAUACGCCCGCACCAUCAUCUGCUCGCUAGAGGACAAUAGGAAAUCCAUGUCGCCGCCGCCUUGGUCGCCGUCGAUGUAAAUCUCGGCUCGCCACCGUCUCCUCUGUCGCCGCCGAUUCUAAAGCUCAGGACGCCGCCGGCGCCACCACCACCGCUACCGCUGGCGCUGUCGUUCUGAGGUUGGUUCACCAUCACCGCUCGAGACUCCUCCCUCACUCAUCAAAGCCUCUCAAAGUUGCGUUGCCGCCUGCAGCUCGCUGGACGAUUAUACGAUGAGCCACCAGGCCCCAAGCACCUCAAGCCCUGGCCGGAGCGUCUAAUCGAUAGAAACUGCCGUGAUGGCCUGCUGCUACCAGCAUUCAUAGGCUGACAUCAAGAUCGUCUAGGUUGCCUGCUUCUCUUUUGCUUGGGCUAAUGCUGGUGUUCACCAAGUUUGCAUUUAGUAAACCAUAUUUUGUUUAGUGCUUGCAUUUUCUACAUGACAUCAAGCAGAAAUUUAGGCCUACUAAGCUCGAGGACUACAUUAGGUAAAAGUUUGGAAGAGAAUCGAAUUAUUACAGGUCAGAAAUUGAUAUUUGGACUGCACCUAAGCUUAUGAGAUAGAAAAUUAUCUGUGCCUGUUGUUUUUCUGUAUCUCAUAUGAAAUGUAGCUCAAACCUUUUUUACGUGCUUUCACCAUUGCUUUGACACUAGGAAUGAGGUUUGAAUUUGGGAAUGUUUUUUUUUGCUUCAUUUAAUGAGAAAUCAGAAAUUGAUAUUUGGACUGCACCUAAAGUUAUGAGAUAGAAAAUUAUUUGUGCUUAUUGUUUUUCAGCAUCUCAUAUGAAAUGCAACUCAAACCUUUUUUAUGUGCUUUCACCAUUGCUCUAACAUUAGGAAUGAGGUUUGAAUUUGGGAAUGCUUUUUUGUUGCUUUAUUUAAUGAGGAUUCAAAUAUUCCCACCUCCUAAUUAGCGAAUAAGAAAACUAAAGAUAUAAUUUCCUAUUCUACAUUGACAAUGCAAGAAACUCACCAAUUGGAAUGAAUUUAGACGUCAAUGACCUGAUAGAUUAUUUUCUUAAACUAUUUAGAUCAGACUAACAAUAAGAGUUUUACAUAAGUGAACAUGGUGUGGAUAUAGAACAUCCAAUGUAGUGUCAGAGGAUCAUUUCCAUCCAAUGAUUAUGUCCUCUUUUUUUCCACCCGAAAUGUCCUACCAAUAGAUUGCACAUGUAAUUAUUGUUCCUAUUAGCUUCUAUUACUCAGGUUUUGUGGGCUGCUCCUCUUCAUGACUUCCCUUCCUUGCUAUCUCUUCGGAUAUUCAUAUUUCGUUUACACCCAU